UAGGGAAUCUUCGGCAAUGGACGAAAGUCUGACCGAGCAACGCCGCGUGAGUGAAGAAGGUUUUCGGAUCGUAAAACUCUGUUGUUAGAGAAGAACAAGGACGUUAGUAACUGAACGUCCCCUGACGGUAUCUAACCAGAAAGCCACGGCUAACUACGUGCCAGCAGCCGCGGUAUACGUAGGUGGCAAGCGUUGUCCGGAUUUAUUGGGCGUAAAGCGAGCGCAGGCGGUUUCUUAAGGCUGGUGUGAAAGCCCCCGGCUCAACCGGGGAGGGUCAUUGGAAACUGGGAGACUUGAGUGCAGAAGAGGAGAGUGGAAUUCCAUGUGUAGCGGUGAAAUGCGUAGAUAUAUGGAGGAACACCAGUGGCGAAGGCGGCUCUCUGGUCUGUAACUGACGCUGAGGCUCGAAAGCGUGGGGAGCAAACAGG
rnacentral:rRNA from 1 species